UUUAUGGAGAGUUUGAUCCUGGCUCAGGAUGAACGCUGGCGGCGUGCCUAAUACAUGCAAGUCGAGCGAACAGACAA
rnacentral:rRNA from 1 species